UGAUAAAGAAAGAACGAGUGAACGAUCAGACGCGUUACUGUGAAAGUGGCGCGCGCGUCUUUAGCGGGUCAAACCGCUUUCCGGCGACACGUCCUCCUCCAGACAAACUACAGCUCCUCACGGGGGUUUAGAUGCAUUAACAUGCUGUAUCCAUCACUAUUUUAUGCGGUCAAUUCAUUUAAUUUCCAUGAAAUCGCUCUACCUUCUAGGGAGAAGUCAUCUUCUUGCUAGCAGGAAGAGCCUCGUUCAGAGACAAACCUCUUCCGGGUCAACCUCAAAUUCAAAAGGUUGACGGGAAUAUUCCAUUUAAAUACUUAUCUAAAACACAUAUGCAUACUGUUUUAAAUUAAAUGUUUGUUUUUUUUUCAUUCUUUUUUUUUAUUUCAACUGUUUUUCAUUGGGAAAAAAGUACAUCGAGAAGUAAAACGGAAGUAGUUCAACAGGUCUUGUAUGGCAAGCGUUAAGGGCCAAAACUCGCUAGAAAAUACACCGUAAAGAGCGAAGAUCUGACCGAGGUUCCGCACAGACCAGACUUGCCGGUACAUGUCCUCUCUGGAGGGUCCCGUCCCACCAGGGGGAGGCUGGGCGGGAUUUGAAGAGGCUGACCUGAGCGGCCUGGCUUCAGCUCCACGGUUGGAUCCUCGUCAUGGAUGGACGAGACCUGCAGGCUGGAUGUGAGAGGACCCUGCAGAGGUUACCGGUCUGGAUCAUAGAGCAUGUGUGGACUCACAAGAUCAUGGAUGUCCGAGAAGUUGUCGACUCGUCCAGCUGGCCGGAUGUGGAUUCUCAGCCUCUCAGCCUGGAGGACUCGUGGAGGCUGCGUGUCACCGCCGCACGCGUCUACUCCAUCAUGAAGAGCAGAGACCUGCAGAACUUUGAGAAAGUCUUGGGCUUCCUGGAAACCACUCGCAGGCUUUUACCCCGACUGGUGCCGGCCAUCAAACACAUGAAGAUCAUGUUUGGCGUGAAAACCAUGAUCAUUAUGUGGAUGCUGAAGGAACACAAAGGAAUAGUUGAAACUGUGACUCAAAUACUGCGGUUCUUCCCACACAAACUCCCUCAGUACCAAGAUCAGUGUAGUCCACGAGAAAUGUUCAUCAUGAGGAAGAAUCACGUGGACUUUAGGAAUCUGGCUCAAGCUCUCGCUAUAGACCAGGAGCGUCUGGAGGAUUACAUCAAGGUAAUGGAGUUUUAAAGACCCGCCCCUCAUCCCCUUUGAUCAGGAUUAGGACAUUUUUAAAUAAAAGAAACUGUUAGUUUUUAGGGUAAACUCACCUCUUAGUUGUGGGCGGGACUAUUGGUGCACACCAACUCCACCCCCUUCCCCUUCGCUGAGGGCUUGUGGCUCCGCCCAGCGUAUGUUCUACAUCACAAAUACGUUUUUAUUCAAACUGCAUGUUCAAAAAUGUUGUUUUGAGCUUCUUUGUCCUCGUGUACAUCAUGUCGUUAACCGUCAGAGAAACGAAGAACGUCUUAAAGUGUUCUUCGUAUACGAAGGAUUCCACGUCUCCGUCUGGUUCCAUUCUUUACAUUCAGAGACGGCGGCAGCAGCAGCAGCAGCAGCAGCAGCAGCAGCAGCAGCAGCAGCAGCAGCAGCAGCAGCAGCAGCAGCAGCAGCUGCAGCAGCAGCAGCAGCAGCAGCAGCAGCAGCAGCUGCAGCUGCAGCAGCAGCAGCAGCAGCAGCAGCACUGACGGUCAGUCGGUCUCAGCGGGGAUGCUAAAACUGAUGCUUUUGAAAUCUUCUCCAGCUUCAACACUUCCAGAUGGUUGAUCUUCUGGUUCACAUCACCAACUCUAAACUGAUGUGUUUAUAAAGCCUCACAUCGCGUGGGUUCCAGCUAAAUUCAACCAGCUAAAGGAGACGUCAUUUGUCGUGAGGUUCACAUACAUUUUCCAUCCUACACUUUGAAUAUUUACAUGUUUUGUUCAAUAAAACAUGAAAACUUUUAUUUUUGUGUUUUAUUAUUUAAGAAGACUUUGUUUAUCAUGUGAAGAUAUUUUAUGACACAUUCAUGCAGAAAUCCCACAGGGUUCACAUACGGUUCUCUCCUCUGCUGUAUAUUUGUGUCCAGCAGAGGGCACUACUGCUUCACUUCACUUUUACUGUCAUUUCACCCCAUGUUACCCCUUCAUGCAGUUUUAUAACCCCACACAACUAUUCAGAAAGCCUCAAACAUCCACAUAUAUGCUUGGCAUCAUAAAAAUCUUGGUUUUUUUUCAUUGCUGAACACGACCAACAACUUUAGAGGGAAAAUGAAGCCGCAGCACAGAAUGUUUAUGGAGCUUCAGUUCAUGUCAUAAACUCAGCCAAAUAUCAUCUGAAAACCUCUCAUGAUGUCGGAGCAGCACCCACAGGAACUCCUUCACUACGAGGGAAAUCCAUCAGGAUCUGCAGCGGAUCCAGAACUCUGCUGCUCGGGUUCUCACAGGGACCAGGAGAGGAGAACACAUCGGUCCAGUUCUGGGGUUAGGGUUACCCGUCUGGUUACCUGUCUGGUUACCUGUCUGGUUACCCGUCUGGUUACCUGCCUGGUUAACCGUCUGGUUACCUGCCAAGUUACCUGCCAGGUUACCACUCUGGUUACCUGUCUGGUUACCUGCCUGGUUACCCGUCUGGCACCUGUCUGGUUACCCGCCUUACCCGUCUGAUUAGGGUAAGGCGGGUAAUUAGCACCUGCCAGGUACUUAAGGCAGAGGAGGAGUUACCAAGGUGGGCAGAGCAGCAUGCUGGGUAGCAUUAUGGGUUUAGUUUGAACUGGUCUGGUCUGUUUGUUUUUCCUCCUCAGCAGUCUUCCACUGCUGGGUUUUGUUAUUUUAGUUUGAGGUUGGACUUUGGUAGUCUUGAUUUUCAGGCUUUGUUUGUUUGUUGCUCAGGCAGCCAUUAGCAGGGAGCUGCUGAGUCUCCAUGACUUAUUUCAUGUUUGUUCUUUCACAGGAUUUAUUCAAUAAACAGAGUUUCUCUUCUUCUCAUUGGUGUCCAGUUUUUAACCCCCCCUUUUGUAUAUUCUCUCUCUAGACCCGAGCCAGGUUUAGGGGACAUAGCACCCAGUUUGUACCAGCCAGACCUCUCUGCUCAUCUGGAUCCUGGAGUCAGAACUAAACAUGGAGAAGCUGCAUUCAGCUUCUAUGCUCCACAGAUCUGGAACCUUAGAUCAGCUCAAACACUCACCUGUUCUCAGCUGCAUUGGAUUCAAACGUUUAAAUGAACGUCCUUUCCUGAAGCGACCGUGUCGCCGUUUCAUUGUUUCCUCCUGAAACAUGACGGCUGUCGAACGAGCAGACGUGGUUCCACUUCACUGACGUUUCUGUCAUCUG
rnacentral:lncRNA from 1 species